GUCUUAUGAGAUCUGAUGGUUUUUAAAAGCGGAGUUCCCCUCCACAAGCUCUCUUUUUGCCUGCUGCCAUCCUGUAAGACAUACUUGCUCCUCCUUGCCUUCCACCAUGAUUGUGAGGCCUCUUCAGCCAUUUGGAACUAAGAUGGAAGACUACACUUCCCAGGACGCUUGCAUUCUUGCCAAUUAACUGAGACGGAAAGCACCAUCUACCUUUCCAAAUGACAGCAAUGAAAAGACGCUGGGUAAUUCUCCAGAGCCCCCAUUCUAUUCCUGAUAAGACCAAUGACUGCAGGGGUGAUAAAGGCUGAUUUGUUUACGUAACAGUGGAAACGACUUUGUAAUGCAUAUCAUCCUUCCAGUAAAUUUCUCAACUAUCUCCAAGAUUAUACUUUUAAAUGCAAGUUGAAUCAUCAUAAUCCACUCCUUAAGAUCUCCAGCUAAAAUCAAGAGCUGGCAGCUCUCCACAUUUUGACUGUCUCCUAGAGAAGAAUAAACACUGUGCCUGGAGCAACACUGAUUCUUCUGACUACACAGCACCAUGUGACUUGGGUGAACUGUUAGAUCCGUCAGUGAACAGAAUGACAUCUCCAUACCUUGAUGAAAAUACUGCCGUUGUAAUAAUUAAGCUCUUCCUUCAUUUUUUUCCCACUUAAUAACAAGACCCCUAUUCUCGCUCUUCCCCGAGAAAAGAAGUUACAGGAAAAUUGUGGGAUAGAAUUAAAAUAUUUUCUUGAAUCUAUGAAUAGGAGACCAUCUUUAAGUAAGAUGAAUUGUGAAGAGAGAUGAGUUGUCUUCUCUGUAAAUAAGACUCGGGAAAUGAGUACUGUGUUGAACUACAAAGUAGCAGGACUUUUAUACGCUAAAGGCACAAAAUGGUUACCCCAUGAGGCAUGAUUAAGAACUGUGACUGGAAGUUGACAUAACAGGGAUCUAAUCGAUUUCAUUUCCUGGAUACAGAACAUCUAGUCCAUUUUUUAUGAAGGAAUGACUGGACUGACUCAUCACCACAUUGAUCUGUUCUUCAGGCCCAUUCAUUCAGUAUGUCUUGAGAGUCCACCCACAUCACCAGUGUUUCACAUUAGUAUAAAUUACAGAUGCCAUUUUACUAUGGUAAGUGAAUAACAUGAAUGGUUGGUGAUGUGAUAAUGAUAUUUUUAGUGUUAACAAUACUUUUAAAUGUAAUUAAAUAUAAAACAUAGCAUUUCAAAUACAGGUGCCAUUUAGUAUAAAUUAAUUACAGGUGCCGUUUUACUAUGAUACGUGAAUUACAUGAAAAGCUGGUGAUGUGAUAAUGGUAUUUUCUUUUGGUGUUAACAUGUUUAAAUGUAAUUCAAUGUAAAAUUUAACAUUUUAAUACAUUUUUUACUACUUCCUUUGGUUCACUUCCAUUACUGGAAACAUCCUAUUUCUUUUAAUAAAACCACAUGUAAAGUCAAAUAUUU